rnacentral:rRNA from 1 species
UACGGAAGGGGCAAGCGUUGUUCGGAAUCAUUGGGCGUAAAGGGCGCGUAGGUGGUUCUGUAUGUCUACCGUGAAAGCGUACGGCUCAACCGUAUUUUGUCGGUAGAAACUGCAGGACUUGAGGCUGGGAGGGGCUGGUGGAAUUCCCUGUGUAGCGGUGAAAUGCGUAGAGAUGGGGGAGAACACUCGUGGCGAAGGCGGCCAGCUAGACCAGUUCUGACACUGAGGCGCGACAGCGUGGGAAGCAAACAGG